rnacentral:rRNA from 1 species
CCCUCUGGGUCCACCCUCCCACCCGUGUCUACCGUCCCUUGUUGCUUCGGCGGGCCCGCCCCCCGGGGCGGCCGGGGGGCCUUCGUGGCCCCCGGGUUCCGCGCCCGCCGGAGACAAACACGCGAACACUGUGUGAAGGUUGCCGUCUGAGUGGAUUUAUCCAAUCGUUAAAACUUUCAACAACGGAUCUCUUGGUUCCGGCAUCGAUGAAGAACGCAGCGAAACGCGAUAGUUAAUGUGAAUUGCAGAAUUCAGUGAAUCAUCGAGUCUUUGAACGCACAUUGCGCCCCCUGGUAUUCCGGGGGGCAUGCCUGUCCGAGCGUCAUUGCUGCCCAUCAAGCGCGGCUUGUGUGUUGGGCCCCCGUCCCCCUCCCCGGGGGGACGGGCCCGAAAGGCAGCGGCGGCACCGCGUCCGGUCCUCGAGCGUAUGGGGCUCUGUCACCCGCUCUGGAGGCCCGGCCGGCGCCCGCCGACCCCAACCUUUUAUUUACCAGGUUGACCUCGGAUCAGGUAGGGAUACCCGC